rnacentral:rRNA from 1 species
GGAAGGGAUGUAUUUAUUAGAUAAAAAACCAACGCGGCUCGCCGCUCACUUGGUGAUUCAUAAUAACUUCUCGAAUCGUAUAGCCUUGUGCUGACGAUGCUUCAUUCAAAUAUCUGCCCUAUCAACUUUCUAUGGUAGGAUAGAGGCCUACCAUGGUUUCAACGGGUAACGGGGAAUAAGGGUUCGAUUCCGGAGAGGGAGCCUGAGAAACGGCUACCACAUCCAAGGAAGGCAGCAGGCGCGCAAAUUACCCAAUCCCGACACGGGGAGGUAGUGACAAUAAAUAACAAUAUAGGGCUCUUUCGGGUCUUAUAAUUGGAAUGAGUACAAUUUAAAUCCCUUAACGAGGAACAAUUGGAGGGCAAGUCUGGUGCCAGCAGCCGCGGUAAUUCCAGCUCCAAUAGCGUAUAUUAAAGUUGUUGCAGUUAAAAAGCUCGUAGUUGAACUUCAGGCUUGGCUGGGCGGUCCGCUUUACGGCGUGUACUGUCUGGCUGGGUCUUACCUCAUGGUGAGCCGGCGUGCCCUUUAUUGGCGUGCGUCGGGGAACCAGGACUUUUAC